AUUGAACGCUGGCGGCAUGCCUUACACAUGCAAGUCGAACGGCAGCACGGGUGCUUGCUCCUGGUGGCGAGUGGCGAACGGGUGAGUAAUACAUCGGAACAUGUCCUGUAGCGGGGGAUAGCCCGGCGAAAGCCGGAUUAAUACCGCAUACGAUCUACGGAUGACAGCGGGGGACCUUCGGGCCUUGCGCUAUAGGGUUGGCCGCUGGCUGAUUAGCUAGUUGGUGGGGUAAAGGCCUACCAAGGCGACGAUCAGUAGCUGGUGUGAGAGGACGACCGGCGACAUGGGAGCUGAGACACGGCCAAGACUACUACGAGAGGCAGCAGUGGGGUAUUUUAGACAGUAGUCGGAAGCCUGGUCCAGCAAUGCGGCGUGUGAGAAAGAGGCCUUCGGGUUGUAAAGCACUUUUGUCCGGAAAGAAAUCCUUGGCCCUGAUACGAUGGGGGGGUGACGGUAACGGGUGAAUAAGCACCGGCUAACUACGUG
rnacentral:rRNA from 1 species